GGGUGACGACGGAGGAGGAGAGGAGGUCGCGGGCGGCGGCUGCUGGCUUAGAGCCAAAGGAGGCCGGGAAUUUGCCCAGACUGAGGCGUGUCCUGUCUCCUGUGGUGGAGCUGCCCCCUGGGCCUGCUCUCUCCAGGCUGCGCUGACACACAGUUCCCCCGGGGAGUGCUUUGCUGUUCAGCCCUCCGGCUGCGCGGGAAAAAGCGUGUAUCCUCAGCUGAGUUGUGCCAGGGCGCUUCCGUGCAGGCCUGGGCACUGCAGGAACUAGCCGUCCUCGCCCGCUCCGGAGUGCAACCACCAGUGGUUACUUUGCUCUUUACACGGCAUUCUCAAAACUAAUGAUAAUAGAAUGAUCGGUUCUGAGACAAAGCUAUGGGGCAAGUUGAAAAGCUCUAAGUGCUUCAUUUAAAACCCAGUGGUUUAACCCACCCCUAUGUUUAAUAAAACAUUAAACAGAAUUGGGCUGAGUACCUGUCAUGGGGUUUCCCGGUGGAAACACCUGGCUCUCCAAAGAAUGCAGUCAAUUCCCAAUUUGUGAACAGCCAGGAAUUCACUCUGUAAAUUGUUCAGAACGCUAUAGAAACUAGGUCAUACUUAGUUGAUUUGUUCAGGCCAACCCCCAAAAGCUAUGAAACAAGAAGUGCUCUGUUUAUUGAAGAAACUGAAUACUUAGUUCCAAAGUUUCUGGGAUCAAGGAUGUACAUCUCAUUGAAUGAAUCAUUCCUUCUUGUAGGGUCUCAACCUACAUAGUAACUGGAUGAUUGCAAAGUAAUUUAAGGAUUAGGUACUGACGCCAGAAUCUCUUAAGCAAGUAUGCCCUAGCAAGAAUCUACAUGUCUAACAGGGUCCCAGAGAAUUCUCAGGAUAACCAAAAUUUCCAAACCACUGGAGCAAGUAACGAACAAGAAAAACAUAUAAGUACAUACAUGGGGUCUUCAUUGACAAGUACAAAUAAGGGGAAAAUAUUUGCUCAAUUUUUUUGUACUUUUAUUUUGUUAGGCAAGAUCUUAAGAGACCACAACACCAAAUGUGUUCUCAAUUAUCUCAUUUUAUCACAUGAAAGAUAUAAUUUUGGAAUUUCAAAAAAUAUAAAUUUAGUUUUAAGAAGGACCACAUUCCAGGCCGGGCGUGGUGGCUCACGCCUGUAAUCCUAGCACUUUGGGAGGCCGAGGCGGGAGGAUCACAAGGUCAGGAGAUCAAGACCAUCCUGGCUAACACAAUGAAACCCCGUCUCUACUAAAAAUACAAAAAUUAGCCGGGCGUGGUGGCACGGGCCUGUAGUCUCAGCUACUCGGGAGGCUGAGGCAGGAGAAUCACUUGAACCCGGGAGGCAGAGUUU
rnacentral:lncRNA from 1 species